AAAUUGAAGAGUUUGAUCAUGGCUCAGAUUGAACGCUGGCGGCAGGCCUAACACAUGCAAGUCGAACGGUAGCACAGAGAGCUUGCUCUCGGGUGACGAGUGGCGGACGGGUGAGUAAUGUCUGGGAAACUGCCCGAUGGAGGGGGAUAACUACUGGAAACGGUAGCUAAUACCGCAUAACGUCGCAAGACCAAAGUGGGGGACCUUCGGGCCUCACACCAUCGGAUGUGCCCAGAUGGGAUUAGCUAGUAGGUGGGGUAACGGCUCACCUAGGCGACGAUCCCUAGCUGGUCUGAGAGGAUGACCAGCCACACUGGAACUGAGACACGGUCCAGACUCCUACGGGAGGCAGCAGUGGGGAAUAUUGCACAAUGGGCGCAAGCCUGAUGCAGCCAUGCCGCGUGUAUGAA
rnacentral:rRNA from 1 species